GAAGCUUCAGCUACACAUCUGAUGAAGACUGCUGGCUUGGCAGUUGGAACAUGUCAGGUAAACAAACAAAAAAACUCGUGUCUUUAUAUAACAGUGAAUAAAAAGUCAGAAUUGGCCUCUUCUGUGUGUUGUUUAGUGCCCACACCAUAGAGCAAGAUGUGGUUGAUCUGCGCCUGGCUGCUGGAGACAAGGGAUUCUGCAUUCAAUUCUGAAUUCAGUGAUGGAGAUGUUGUUACACUGGACAGGAAUCAUGCUUCCUACUUCAGCAUCCAGACACAGCUUCAUGCUGUGAACUAUGUGGUUUGAAACCGCAAUGACAUUUUUGUUAAACCCCUCCCCCCUUCAUGGAUGUUUUAUAACCAUAGACUUUAUAUAAAGAUAACACAUCCAUGAUCUAGACCUUAUCGUUAUAGGCUACCACCUCCCCCGUGGAUGUAUUACAAGAGUAAUCAAAGGCUGUCCAAGUGGCGUUUUUUCUGCCGUUGUUUGCCUGCGUGUGUUGCCAUUGGCCAGGAAACUGGGAGGAGCGCAGAGAGGCAGAGAAAGGAAACCGGGAAACAGAUCAAAACCAACGUUUGAAGCGUUACCUCGGUUUGUCAGUAUUGUGAGAACACCCGAUUGCCGAAUAAGCCUGAUGCUAAAACAAGCUUUGAAGUAGCUUUUUUGUCGAAUACGAAUGAGGCUGGACGCUGAACACACCUGCGGCGUAAAGGUGUCACCACUUCAUCCACAAUGUCGUCCACGAUCGCUGAGAUGUCUUCCAUGAUUGCAGAGACGUGGUCCAUGAUCGGAGAGACAUUGUCCAUGACUCGCAGAGACGUGCAAAAGUUCUUUAAGACCAGGCCUGGGGCCUCCAGGAGGAGAAGGCGACAGCAGCUGAAGACCUGAAGUAGAUGAAAGAAAACAAAAGUGUUACAAAGCUGUUAAUAGUCCACGUCCAUCAUCUAACUGCUGUUAACAGUGUUAGUUUCCUGUUGUUCAAGUGCAAACACCUUGUUUCUGUACCAUUUAUAAUGUAGUCAUGGGCAAAUUUUCCAAAGACUAAUGUGUCUUUAUGAGACUACUUAUGAUACAACUAUUUAAUUAAUAAUUGUAUCACAAGCAGGAAAAUGUGCUCAUAACUACAUUAAACCUAACCACCUCUAACAAGUGUUUCCUUGUGGUCAAAUGUCAUUAUCUUUGCUGUGAUUUGUUAAAUGUCCAGAAUAAAAUCCACAAAAGUUUCUUUUCAAACUUUUGAGUUGCAUUUCUCUGAUUUGAAACUGAUGCUAUACAAAUCAUUUUACUGCAUUUUAUUUCGAGACAAAUGUCAUAUAUAUUUUUUAUGCUCGUUAUUCAGACAUA